rnacentral:tRNA from 1 species
AGAAAAAUAAGCUAAUUUAAGCUAGUGGGUUCAUACCUCACCAAUGGAUUAUAAAUCCUUUUUCUA